rnacentral:rRNA from 1 species
UCGAAAGCCCGCCAAGCAAAAAGACCCGCGAACUUGUCUCUACAUACUGUUGGGAGUGGUGAUGCGAUGGUCGCGGCCCUGUUGCCUAGCCUUCCAUCCUCUCCCUGCGCGUAGAUGUGCACGGACCCUUUGGGUGAUGUGCUCAUUUACUCGUCAAGCAACGAACCCCCCGGCGCAAGACGCGCCAAGGAAAAUUGAACAAGGGUGCACGUCCCCAACCGCUUGCGGGUGGUGUUGGCGUAUGCAAUCUUUCGUACAACUAAACGACUCUCGGCAACGGAUAUCUCGGCUCUUGCAUCGAUGAAGAACGUAGCGAAAUGCGAUACUUGGUGUGAAUUGCAGAAUCCCGUGAACCAUCGAGUCUUUGAACGCAAGUUGCGCCCGAAGCCAUUAGGUUGAAGGCACGUCUGCCUGGGCGUCACGCGUUGCGUCACUCGCUCCCUUGUGCCUAAGUGUGCAUGUUGGGGCGUGGGUGGAUAUUGGCCCCCCGUUCGCUUUUGGUGGUCGGUCGGCCUAAAAGAGAGUCCCUAACGGCGGACAUCACGACAAGUGGUGGUUGCUAAAUCGUCGCGUCAUGUUGUGGAUGCCCAUUGUUUGUUGCGGGUUGGCUCGUUGACCCCGAAGGUGCUAGUAUCUGCGGCACCUCG